ensembl:lncRNA
CUUCAGAUCGGGGUCUUCAGAUCGGGUGUCCCUCCCUGUCACUCUCUGUUUCCGUCUUUGAUCUCUUCCGCUUGUCCUUCGGUUGAUUGCGCUCCGUCUGUGUCUUCCCGCCCUUUUACUCUCUCUUGCUCUUUCCUGGUUUCCUUCUCACUUUCUCAGCUUUAACUGAGCUGUGACCUUUUCAAAUUCUCGCUCCUGAUUUUUUACCUUUUGGCAUCUCUGCCUUUUCGGUCUGAAUGCCGUCCACGCUCCUCCCUUCAGAACACUCCUUGCAUGGUCUUCCUGUGUCAUACCGCGAGAGCUUCCUGAGGUCUCACUCCGCGCCUCUGCUCUCUCCAGAGGUCCCGCCCAGUCCCGUGAAGUCCUCGCCCGAGACCACCCCGACGACCUCCCCCCGCCAGCGCCGGAGACUCGGACCGCUUCUGCCAACUCUGCAACGCCUGGUUCAACAACCCGGGCAUGGCGCAGCAGCACUACGACGGCAAGAAGCACAAGAAGAACGCCGCCCGGGCAGACCUGCUGGAGCAGCUGGGCAAGACCCUGGACAUGGGGGAGAUGAAAGGACUGAAGCGGAGCUACAGCUGUGAGGUCUGCAGCGUGACUCUCAACUCGGUGGCCCAGUACCACGCACAUCUGCAGGGCUCCAAGCACCAGAACAACCUGAAGAACCAGAUAUGUGUCCAGUGAUCGACGGUGGAUGAAGAUCCAACCGCAAUGAUUGAUGUCAGACAAGCUGUGGACAGCUUGCCCCGCUUCCUCUUUCUCUCACUCUUACUCUCUCUCUCUCUCUCUCUCUCUCUCUCUCUCUCUCUCUCUCUCUCUCUCUCU